rnacentral:rRNA from 1 species
UACGGGGGGGGCAAGCGUUGUUCGGAAUUACUGGGCGUAAAGGGUUCGUAGGUGGCCGACUAAGUCAGACGUGAAAUCCCUCAGCUCAACUGGGGAACUGCGUCUGAGACUGGCCGGCUUGAGUGCAGGAGAGGAACGCGGAAUUCCAGGUGUAGCGGUGAAAUGCGUAGAUAUCUGGAGGAACACCGGUGGCGAAGGCGGCGUUCUGGACUGCUACUGACACUGAGGUACGAAAGCGUGGGUAGCAAACAGG